CCUAGGAGACCUGCAGAAUCUUUAAGGAAAAGGAUCUUUACCUCUGAGCCCGGUAACACAAGCCUUCACCAGCUAUGGAAUUGCAUCUGUCUAGGAAAUAUUUGCAAACAAAAAGACUUGCAAGAACUGGGAUCUGAUCCUCCAGGGAUACUUGCCAGACUAUGGUCAUGAAUAAACCCAUCUGGUGACUCUCCAGGCUUAUGUUCAGAUUUACCAGUUCAAUAUUAUGAAGACUAUAGACCUGAUAGAUGUGAGGAUUUGGAGGGGAAGUAAUGGUGGGACAAUAAAGAGGACUUCCACGAUCACUGAUACUUUCAUCUUCAUUCACGUCAUUGUCACCACAUUCUCCUGAAGCAGUUU